CGGGGGAGCAAAACCGACUGGAUACCUGCGAGGCUUUGCUGCGCCAGAACAGAGCUCCUCUUCCCUGUUAAGAAACCACAGGUUUUCUGCACAACAAGUUACCUAAAAUCACUGUACGGGUGGAUUAUCCAGAAGCCGGCAGACUUCACCCGCUCCCUCUCAUGCUCCACGGCCCUCUC